CAUACUCUGGGGCUGGGAGUUACCAACUCACUUUCGGGAAGGGGACCAAACUCUCGGUCAUACCAA